GCGUCCGUGGGUCAUUGGUGGAUCACCAGCCUUCCAAGCUGGCAAGGACCGGUUCGAUUCCGGCCGGACGCU
rnacentral:tRNA from 1 species